rnacentral:rRNA from 1 species
AGAGUUGAUCAUGGCUCAGGAUGAACGCUGGCGGCGCGCUUAACACAUGCAAGUCGAACGGUUAAAGCACCUCCGGGUGUGCAUAAAGUGGCGAACGGCUGAGUAACACGUGGGCAACCUGCCCCCCGCACCGGGAUAGCCUCGGGAAACCGUGGGUAAUACCGGAUACUCCGCCACCCCCGCAUGGGGGAGGCGGGAAAGCGUACACGGCGGGGGAUGGGCCCGCGGCCUGUUAGCUCGUUGGCGGGGUAACGGCCCACCAAGGCGAUUAUGGGUAGCCGGGUUGAGAGACCGACCGGCCAGAUUGGGACUGAGACACGGCCCAGACUCCUACGGGAGGCAGCAGUGGGGAAUCUUGCACAAUGGGCGAAAGCCUGAUGCAAGCGACGCCGCGUGCGGGACGAAGGCCCUCGGGUUGUAAACCGCUUUCAGCAGGGACGAGGCGCAAGUGACGGUACCUGCAGAAGAAGCCCCGGCUAACUACGUGCCAGCCGCAGC